rnacentral:lncRNA from 1 species
GAAAACAAACACUAUCUAUCUCGUUUUCUUUAAGCCAAUGGAGAAAGUUCAUACAUCACAUUCACUGAUCUUGCUUCUUACCCUUCUCAUUGCUUCCUUCAUUCUCACAACCUCAAUAACCAAUCCCAAUCACCAAACAUCAAAUUUCAAGAAUCAAAAUGCAAAACGUGUCAAAAAAGGCGAGGUUCGUGUUCAUGCAAAAGGUGAAAAAGAUCAAGCAAGGAUUCCGUAUCCAGCUUAUGCUUCUGCUGAUGGUUUUCAGGAGAUGGAAGAAGGUGAGAAAGAUGAUGAGAAGAUGGUUCAUGGCCUAAAUGGGGAUCUCUAUUACGAUGGGCCCCCACAAGGUUACUUUGGGUACCCCUUUCCAGGUGGCAUCUUUGGAUUCCCUCGUGGUAUUUUCGGGUUCCCUCGUGGCUUUUUUGGGUAUCCACUAGGUUUCAGAGGGGGGUUGCUUCCAGGUGGUUAUGGUGGAUUUCCAGGAGGUUAUGGCGGUUAUCCAUAUCCAGGAAGCUAUGGUGGAUAUCCAGGUGGCGAUGGCGGAAAUCCAGGCGGUUAUGGCGGUGGAGGGCCAGGUAACAAACCUGGUGGUGGUGGUGGUGGUGCUGGUGGUCAUGGAAGUGGUGGAGGGUACCCUGGUUAUGGAGGUCAAGCUAAGGAGGUGAAGGGCAAAAGAGUCAAUCCAUAUAAUUGAGUUCUUCUGUUAUAUAUUAUUAGAUUAAAUUAAUAAUACCAGCUCCUAGUUUUAUAAAUUAGAGAAGAUUUCGGUUUUCUUGUGUUGUUGAAGAGUUCUGUUUCAGGUUCUAGUGAGGUUUGUGCUAGUUUAACUGCUAUGGUUGACUUGUAUCUUGUGCAGUGAAAAUGAAGAAAUAGUUUGAAUUUAUAAAAUAUUAAUAAAAAGUUUUUGGUUUUGACAAAGUUUCGCAAUGUAAAUCAUGUAUACCAUUUUGAGUGCAAUUAGGCCGUACUUUUUUUAAUUGAGUAGUACUUUAUUAAACAGUGUUUAUGUUUAUAAAUAUUUGUAGAAAUGAUAAUUACAUGUACAAAGAAAUGGAAGAGAGAAUAAAUGAAGGAGAAGCGAAUCAACGGUGGCAAUAGUUGCAUCAAACUUACAAGAAUGAAGUUCAUAUAGUGAUUUGGAAAAUCUUUGAAGAUGAGAUAGGUUCUUUUUAACUUGUAUAUAUAUUUUAUAGUUUAUCUCAAUCUCCUAGGGUGUUUGUUAGUUAGCUUUUUUUUUUUUUUUUUUUUUUUAAAACUUAACUUAAACUCAUUAUUAUAUUAGAUGUAUGGAGAAUAAAUGAGGGACAAUCACAAUUUAAUCGAUUAUUAUCUAUGCGGUUUAUCUUUCACCCUAAGAAAGACUUUGUUGUGAUCUAGACCUAUCACAAUCCUAAACACCCGAGUCCCCCUUCUAGCAUUCAUGCCUCGUCUUUCAUAUUCAUCUAUAAUUAUAUUUCAGAUUUCUGAUAGCUCUAUCUUUUUGAUUUGGAUAAUGUAUCUAUCUUUACUGAUAUUAGGAGAUGGCGGGCCUACAUUUACAUUUCCAUUAGUUUUCCUAUUAAAAAAAAAUAAAACAUAAUAAAGUCUACAUGCGAAUGCGAUCUUUGGUCACGCAAUUGGAUGGGGUAGACAGAAGUUGAUCUCAUAGAUGAUGAUUUUCAUUAACAAAAUAUCAUUUUUACUUGGAUUAUGUAACAGAUCUUUUCUUAUUCCCCUCCCAUGUAUGUAUAUCAUUUAAUUAUACCGAAUAAUUUUUUUAUUUACAAAUUAAGCAUUAUAAAACUUGUUAAAGCUCAAAAUUCUUAAAUAAAAGUAUAAUAAGCAUAAAAUAUAAUAGAUAUUUUUUAGAAAAAAAAUAGAAAUUUAAUAAAAAAAAACGUGAUUUUUUAAAGCAUUUAUACCAUUCAUUAGUAGUCACAUAAAUAAAAAUAAGUUGUACUGCAAACUAUUAAUAAAUUUCAAUUUUGCAUUAGAAAUCGACAACUACACAAUUUAAUUUCAACAAAUACUUUUCACACGAUAUAAUCUAAAAACAGAACAUUUUUACAAAUGCCUCAUUCAUUAGGUUUGCCAAAUUGAGAAAAAUUUCCUCAUGACUUGUAGACAUACAUACAAUUUGGUGUCAUUAAUAUCCGAUAACUACACUCCAAUCAGAGAAAAAAAUCCCAUGCAGAGACGCACUUUAUGAGACCCUGUAAUUAGUAAACCAAAUGAAUUCGAUCAACAAAUCUGGUUGCUUAGUUGUACAUCAAAUACUGUGUGUCUUUGUGUGUGUAUUACUAUGUGUAUUCAGUAUUGUCUCCUCAAAAUGCACUAUAAAAAGACAGGCUCGGAAAACAUAAUUUGUCACUGAAAAGAAAACAGACACUAUCUAUCGUUUUCUUUAAGCCAAUGGAGAAAGUUCAUACAUCACUUCUCUUGCUUCUUAUCCUUCUCAUUGCUUCUUUCAUUCUCACAACCUCAACCAAUCCCCAAACACCAAAUUUCAAGAAUCAAAAUGCAAAAAGUGUCAAAAAAGGCAAGGUUCAUGUUCAUGCAAAAGGUGAAAAAGAUCAAGCAAGGAUUCCAUAUCCUUACGCUUUUGCCGAUGGUUUUCAGGAGAUGGAAGAAGGUGAGAAAGAUGAUGAGAAGAUGGUUCAUGGUCUAAAUGGGGCUCUCGAUUACAGCGGGCCCCCACAAGGUUACUUUGGGUACCCCUUUCCAGGUGGCAUUUUCGGGUUCCCUCGUGGCCUUUUUGGGUUUCCACUAGGUUUCAGAGGGGGGUUGUUUCCAGGUGGUGGUUAUGGUGGAUUUCCAGGAGGUUAUGGUGGUUAUCCUUAUCCAGGUGGUUAUGAUGGAAAUCCAGGCGGUUAUGGCGGUGGAGGGCCAGGUAACAAACCUGGUGGUGAUGGUGGUGCUGGCGGUCGUGGAGGUGGUGGAGGAUACCCUGGUUAUGGAGGUCAAGCUGAGGAGGUGAAGAAGGGCAAAAGAGUCAAUCCACAUGAUUGAAUCCUAGUCUUAUUAUUGGGUCAAAUGAAUAAAAUCAGCUCCUAUUGUGUUUUAGAAGAGUUUGUCUAGUGAGGUUUGUUCUAGUUUGGCUGCUAUGGUGACUUGUACCUUGUGCAGUGAAGUUAUAACAUGAAUAAAUAAACAGAGGUUAUGUUAUGUAAAGUCAGUGAUUUUAUAAUUUUGGAUAAUUCAACUCACAAUAUUCCAUAUCAUUUUGUUAUGAUCAUAUAUCAUAAUACAAUAUAUAUAUAUAUAUAUAUAAUAUAUAAUAACCAAAAACUGAUAAAAACACA